UACGUAGGUGGCUAGCGUUGUCCGGAUUUACUGGGCGUAAAGAGCGCGCAGGCGGUCGUUCAAGUCGAGUGUGAAAGCCCCCGGCUCAACUGGGGAGGGUCAUUCGAUACUGAUCAACUCGAAGGCAGGAGAGGGAAGCGGAAUUCCCGGUGUAGUGGUGAAAUGCGUAGAUAUCGGGAGGAACACCAGUGGCGAAGGCGGCUUUCUGGCCUGUUCUUGACGCUGAGGCGCGAAAGCUAGGGUAGCAAACGGG
rnacentral:rRNA from 1 species